ACUCAAAUGAAUUGACGGGGGCCCGCACAAGCGGAGGAACAUGUGGUUUAAUUCGAUGAUACGCGAGGAACCUUACCUGGGUUUGAACGUAGUUUGACCGGCUCGGAAACGGGUCUUCCCUUCGGGGCAAAUUACGAGGUGCUGCAUGGUUGUCGUCAGCUCGUGCCGUGAGGUGUCGGAUUAAGUUCCAUAACGAGCGCAACCCUUAUCAUUAGUUGCCAUCGGGUCAUGCCGGGGACUCUAGUGAAACUGCCGGUGUAAACCGUGAGGAAGGUGGGGAUGACGUCAAAUCAGCACGGCCCUUACAUCCAGGGCCACACACGUGUUACAAUGGCCAGUACAGCGGGCAGCUACUUCGCGAGAAGAUGCUAAUCUCGAAAACUGGUCUCAGUUCGGAUUGGAGUCUGCAACUCGACUCCAUGAAGCUGGAUUCGCUAGUAAUCGCGCAUCAGCCACGGCGCGGUGAAUACGUUCCCGGGCCUUGUACACACCGCCCGU
rnacentral:rRNA from 1 species